AACAUGGAGAGUUUGAUCCUGGCUCAGGAUGAACGCUGGCGGUAUGCUUAACACAUGCAAGUCGAACGGAAGACUUCGGUCUUUAGUGGCGGACGGGUGAGUAACGCGUGAGAACAUGCCUAUCGAUUGGGGACAACAGUUGGAAACGACUGCUAAUACCGAAUGUGCCCUUUGGGGUGAAAGAUUUAUCGUCGAUAGAUUGGCUCGCGUCAGAUUAGCUAGUAGGAGUGGUAACGGCACCCCUAGGCGACGAUCUGUACUUGGUCUGAGAGGAUGACCAGGCACACUGGAACUGAGACACGGUCCAGACUCCUACGGGAGGCAGCAGUGGGGAAUUUUCCGCAAUGGGCGCAAGCCUGACGGAGCAAUACCGCGUGAGGGAGGACGCUUUUUGGAGUGUAAACCUCUUUUAUUAGGGAAGAAAUGAUGACGGUACCUAAUGAAUCAGCAUCGGCUAACUCCGUGCCAGCAGCCGCGGUAAUACGGAGGAUGCAAGCGUUAUCCGGAAUUAUUGGGCGUAAAGCGUCCGUAGGUGGCAGUUCAAGUCUUUUGUCAAAGCGUGCGGCUUAACCGCAUACGGGCGGAGGAAACUGGGCUGCUAGAGUGCGAUAGGGGUUACAGGAAUUCCCAGUGUAGCGGUGAAAUGCGUAGAUAUUGGGAAGAACACCAGCGGCGAAAGCGUGUGACUGGGUCUGCACUGACACUGAGGGACGAAAGCUAGGGGAGCGAAAGGGAUUAGAUACCCCUGUAGUCCUAGCCGUAAACGAUGACAACUAGGUGUGGUUCGUAUCGACCCGAGCCGUGCCGUAGCCAACGCGUUAAGUUGUCCGCCUGGGGAGUACGCACGCAAGUGUGAAACUCAAAGGAAUUGACGGGGGCCCGCACAAGCGGUGGAGUAUGUGGUUUAAUUCGAUGCAACGCGAAGAACCUUACCAAGGCUUGACAUCCUCGGAAUCCCUGUGAAAGUAGGGAGUGCCUUCGGGAGCCGAGAGACAGGUGGUGCAUGGCUGUCGUCAGCUCGUGUCGUGAGAUGUUGGGUUAAGUCCCGCAACGAGCGCAACCCACGUUUUUAGUUGCCAGCAUUCAGUUGGGCACUCUAGAGAGACUGCCGGUGACAAACCGGAGGAAGGUGUGGAUGACGUCAAGUCAGCAUGCCCCUUACGCCUUGGGCUACACACGUACUACAAUGCGUUGGACAAAGAGUCGCAAGCUAGCGAUAGCAAGCCAAUCUCAUAAACCAACGCUCAGUUCAGAUUGCAGGCUGCAACUCGCCUGCAUGAAGGCGGAAUCGCUAGUAAUCGCAGGUCAGCAUACUGCGGUGAAUACGUUCCCGGGCCUUGUACACACCGCCCGUCACACCAUGGGAGUUGGUCACGCCCGAAGUCGUUACUCUAACCGUUCGCGGAGGAGGAUGCCGAAGGUGGGGCUGAUGACUGGGGUGAAGUCGUAACAAGGUAGCCGUACCGGAAGGUGUGGCUGGAUCACCUCCUUA
rfam:Leptolyngbya sp. NIES-2104 DNA, contig: contig1.